GAUGAACGCUGGCGGCGUGCCUAACACAUGCAAGUCGAGCGAUCUUCUCCGGAAGAGAGCGGCGGACGGGUGAGUAACGCGUGGGUAACCUGCCCUGUACACACGGAUAACAUACCGAAAGGUAUGCUAAUACGAGAUAAUAUGCUUUUAUCGCAUGGUAGAAGUAUCAAAGCUCCGGCGGUACAGGAUGAACCCACGUCUGAUUAGCUAGUUGGUAAGGUAACGGCUUACCAAGGCGACGAUCAGUAGCCGACCUGAGAGGGGUAUCGGCCACAUUGGAACGGAGACACGGUCCAAACUCCUACGGGAGGCAGCAGUGGGGAAGAUUGCAAAAUGGGCGAAAGACUGAUGAAGAAACGACGCGUGAGGGAUGAAGGCCUUCGGGUCGUGAAGCUCUGUCCUCAAGGAAGAUAAUGACGGUACUUGAGGAGGAAGCCCCGGCUAACUACGUGCCAGCAGCCGCCGUAA
rnacentral:rRNA from 1 species